AGAGUUUGAUCAUGGCUCAGAUUGAACGCUGGCGGCAGGCUUAACACAUGCAAGUCGAGCGGGGAAAGGUAGCUUGCUACCUGACCUAGCGGCGGACGGGUGAGUAAUGCUUAGGAAUCUGCCUAUUAGUGGGGGACAACAUUCCGAAAGGAAUGCUAAUACCGCAUACGCCCUACGGGGGAAAGCAGGGGAUCUUCGGACCUUGCGCUAAUAGAUGAGCCUAAGUCAGAUUAGCUAGUUGGUGGGGUAAAGGCCUACCAAGGCGACGAUCUGUAGCGGGUCUGAGAGGAUGAUCCGCCACACUGGGACUGAGACACGGCCCAGACUCCUACGGGAGGCAGCAGUGGGGAAUAUUGGACAAUGGGCGAAAGCCUGAUCCAGCCAUGCCGCGUGUGUGAAGAAGGCCUUUUGGUUGUAAAGCACUUUAAGCGAGGAGGAGGCUACUUGGAUUAAUACUCUAGGAUAGUGGACGUUACUCGCAGAAUAAGCACCGGCUAACUCUGUGCCAGCAGCCGCGGUAAUACAGAGGGUGCGAGCGUUAAUCGGAUUUACUGGGCGUAAAGCGUGCGUAGGCGGCUUUUUAAGUCGGAUGUGAAAUCCCUGAGCUUAACUUAGGAAUUGCAUUCGAUACUGGGAAGCUAGAGUAUGGGAGAGGAUGGUAGAAUUCCAGGUGUAGCGGUGAAAUGCGUAGAGAUCUGGAGGAAUACCGAUGGCGAAGGCAGCCAUCUGGCCUAAUACUGACGCUGAGGUACGAAAGCAUGGGGAGCAAACAGGAUUAGAUACCCUGGUAGUCCAUGCCGUAAACGAUGUCUACUAGCCGUUGAGGCCUUUGAGGCUUUAGUGGCGCAGCUAACGCGAUAAGUAGACCGCCUGGGGAGUACGGUCGCAAGACUAAAACUCAAAUGAAUUGACGG
rnacentral:rRNA from 1 species